AAGGAACAUCUGAGAGUCUGAUAUGGGACUUGCUGUGUCUGAGAUACUUUUAGAUACUGGAGAAGUAGUUGGACUUAUGAGUGUGAGCUUCAGGAGAGAGGUCCAGGCAAGAGAUAAAAAUUGUGAUCAUCCAUGUCCAGAUGCUACUUAAAGUCUCGAGAUUGAAUAAGGUCAUAAAGGGAUUAGAAGAAAAUAUAAACGGCAAGGAGAAGUGAUUAGAGUCCUGAGCCCUGGGGCCUCCAUUGUGAAGAGACACACGAGAUAAGGAGGAAGAAGUCAAGGAGACUGAGGAGUGGCCUGAUCUACUGUCCUGGAGGCAAACAUCAAGUGACGAUUUUGCUGUGCUGGGAUCUGAAAGGGGACGCGGGUUCUCAAUCUCUGGUCGGGGAACUAAGAUCCCACAUGCCAUGGGGCAACUAAGCCUGCAAGCCACAACUACUAAGCCCGUGAGCCACAACUACUAAGCCCGCGAGCCACAACUACUGAGCCUGUGUGCCUCAACUAGAGAGCCCCGCAUGCCACAAACUACAGAGCCCAUGCUCUCUGGAGCCUGUGCACCGCAACUACAGAGAGAAAACCCACACGUCACAACUAGAGAGAAGCCCGCGCCGCAAUGAAAGAUCCCACAUGCUGCAACAAAGAUCCCACCUGCCGCAACUAAAGACCUGGCGCAGCCUAAAAUAAAAAAAAUAAAUAAAAUAAAUAGGAUUAAAAAUGUGUAGAGUGAAAAUCUUCUGUCCCACCCCUGUUCUCCCAAUCAGGUGGUUUUCCUUCCAGGAAUGGU